UACGAAGGGGGCUAGCGUUGUUCGGAUUUACUGGGCGUAAAGCGCACGUAGGCGGAUUGUUAAGUCAGGGGUGAAAUCCUGGAGCUCAACUCCAGAACUGCCUUUGAUACUGGCAAUCUUGAGUCCGGAAGAGGUGAGUGGAACUCCUAGUGUAGAGGUGGAAUCCGUAGAUAUUAGGAAGAACACCAGUGGCGAAGGCGGCUCACUGGUCCGGUACUGACGCUGAGGUGCGAAAGCGUGGGGAGCAAACAGG
rnacentral:rRNA from 1 species